ACAGCGAAACCGCGAAUGGCUCAUUAAAUCAGUUAUUGUUUAUUUGAUAGUACCUCUUACAUGGAUAACCGUGGUAAUUCUAGGGCUAAUACAUGCAACCAAGCCCCUUGUUCACACAGGGGGCGCUUUUAUUAGAUCAAGACCAAACCUGUGGCAACACAGGCCCUUUUGGUGACUCUGGAUAACUUUUGCUAAUCGCACGAUCUCGCAUCGGCGAUGUGUCAUUCAAAUUUCUGCCUUAUCAACUUUCGAUGGUACGUUAUACGCCUACCAUGGUUGUUACGGGUAACGGGGAAUCAGGGUUCGAUUCCGGAGAGGGAGCCUGAGAAACGGCUACCACAUCCAAGGAAGGCAGCAGGCGCGCAAAUUACCCACUCCCGGCUCGGGGAGGUAGUGACGAAAAAUAACAAUACAGGUCUCUUUCGAGGUCCUGUAAUUGGAAUGAGUACACUCUAAACCUUUUAACGAGGAUCUAUUGGAGGGCAAGUCUGGUGCCAGCAGCCGCGGUAAUUCCAGCUCCAAUAGCGUAUAUAAAAGUUGUUGC
rnacentral:rRNA from 1 species